CUUAACUACCUGGGAAUGUAGCCCAUUAGGUCUCAGCCUUAUUUUACCCAGUCACUAUUCAAGAUGGAGUCACUCUAGUUUGAAUGCCUCUGACAGUAAUGAAGAAGUAAACUCCGAGACAGCACAUGACUUCCCUCUGAUGACGUAAGGUUGCUGGGAGGACCAGCUCACUGACAGAUUAAAGUUACCAAGUUGAAGUGAUGAGCUUGAAUCCUUCUGCAGUCACACGUUUGGCCUAGCAGAGGUUGAAAUUUUUAAAAAAUGAAAUAGAACCACAAAGAAAAUAUCAGAACACAUUGCACUUAGUAAAGAACAAGGGGGAGUCUCCCUGCACAAGCUCUCUCUCUUUGCCUGCUGUCAUCCACCUAAGAUGUAACUUGCUCCUCCUUGCCUUCCACCAUGAUUGUGAGGCUUCCCCAGCCACGUGGAACUGUUCAAAUUUCCAUCUGGUGUCAUUUUUCUUCUACCUGAAGAAUUUUCUUGAAUAUUCCUUAUAGCAUAGGUCUGCUGGCAAUAAAUUAUCAGUUUUGGCUUGUCUGAAAA
ensembl:lncRNA novel transcript, sense overlapping CCDC71L